rnacentral:rRNA from 1 species
GAUGAACGCUGGCGGCGUGCUUAAUACAUGCAAGUCGAGCGAACGGACGAGAAUCUUGCUUCUUUGAUGUUAGCCGCGGACGGGUGUGAAACACGUGGAUAAUCCCCCUAUAAGACUGGUAUAAUUUCGGGAAACCGGAGAUAACACCGGAUAAUAUUCUGAAGCGUAUGGGUGAAAAGUAAAAGACGGCCUUGCUGGCUCUUAUCGAUGGAUCCGCGCUGCAUUAGCUGGUUGGUACGGUAACGGCUUACCAAGGCAACGAUGCAUAGCCGACCUGAGAGGGUGAUCGGCCACACUGGAACUGGGACGCGGACCAGACUCCUGCGAGAGGGCGCAGUAGGGAAUCUUCCGCAAUAGGCGAGAACCUGGCGGAACAGCGCCGCGUGAGUGACGAAGGUCUUCCGAUCGUGAAGCUCUGUUAUUGGGGAAGAACAUAUGUGUAAGUAGCUGUGCCCAUCUUGACGGUACCUAGUCAGAAAGCCACGGCUAACUACGUG